UGGGGAAUAUUGGACAAUGGGCGAAAGCCUGAUCCAGCCAUGCCGCGUGUGUGAAGAAGGUCUUCGGAUUGUAAAGCACUUUAAGUUGGGAGGAAGGGCAGUAAGCGAAUACCUUGCUGUUUUGACGUUACCGACAGAAUAAGCACCGGCUAACUCUGUGCCAGCAGCCGCGGUAAUACAGAGGGUGCAAGCGUUAAUCGGAAUUACUGGGCGUAAAGCGCGAGUAGGUGGUUCGUUAAGUUGAAUGUGAAAGCCACGGGCUCAACCUGGGAACUGCAUCCAAAACUGGCGAGCUAGAGUAGGGCAGAGGGUGGUGGAAUUUCCUGUGUAGCGGUGAAAUGCGUAGAUAUAGGAAGGAACACCAGUGGCGAAGGCGACCACCUGGGCUCAUACUGACACUGAGGUGCGAAAGCGUGGGGAGCAAACAGG
rnacentral:rRNA from 1 species